rnacentral:rRNA from 1 species
UACGUAGGCAGCAAGCGUUGUUCGGAAUUACUGGGCGUAAAGAGUGUGUAGGCGGUGCUCCAAGUCUGGUGGGAAAUCUCCCGGCUUAACUGGGAGGGUGCAUUAGAAACUGGAAUGCUAGAGGAUGGGAGAGGUAAGCGGAAUUCCUGGUGUAGCGGUGAAAUGCGUAGAUAUCAGGAGGAACACCUGUGGUGUAGACAGCUUACUGGACCAUUUCUGACGCUGAGACACGAAAGCGUGGGUAGCAAACAGG